rnacentral:rRNA from 1 species
UACGUAGGGUCCGAGCGUUAAUCGGAAUUACUGGGCGUAAAGCGUGCGCAGGCGGUUUUUGUAAGCCAGAUGUGAAAUCCCCGGGCUUAACCUGGGAAUGGCAUUUGGGACUGCAAAGCUGGAGUACGGCAGAGGGAGGUGGAAUUCCACGUGUAGCAGUGAAAUGCGUAGAGAUGUGGAGGAACACCGAUGGCGAAGGCAGCCUCCUGGGCCAACACUGACGCUCAUGCACGAAAGCGUGGGGAGCAAACAGG